rnacentral:rRNA from 1 species
UACAGAGGUCUCAAGCGUUGUUCGGAUUCAUUGGGCGUAAAGGGUGUGUAGGUGGCGCGCUAAGUCGGGUGUGAAAUUUCGGAGCUUAACUCCGAAACUGCAUUCGAUACUGGCGUGCUUGAGGACUGGAGAGGAGACUGGAAUUUACGGUGUAGCAGUGAAAUGCGCAGAUAUCAGGAGGAACACCGGUGGCGAAGGCGGGUCUCUGGGCCGAAACUGACGCUGAGGAGCGAAAGCGUGGGGAGCAAACAGG